UACGGGGGGGGUAAGCGUUGUUCGGAAUUACUGGGCGUAAAGGGCUCGUAGGCGGCCAACUAAGUCGGACGUGAAAUCCCUCAGCUUAACUGGGGAACUGCGUCCGAUACUGGAUGGCUUGGAUUUGGGAGAGGGAUGCGGAAUUCCAGGUGUAGCGGUGAAAUGCGUAGAUAUCUGGAGGAACACCGGUGGCGAAGGCGGCAUCCUGGACCAAUAUUGACGCUGAGGAGCGGAAGCUAGGGGAGCAAACGGG
rnacentral:rRNA from 1 species